rnacentral:rRNA from 1 species
GCGCAGCAGGCGCGAAAACUCCGCAAUGUGCGAAAGCACGACGGGGUUACCCUGAGUGCUACCUGCUGAAGGUAGCUUUUGCCUAGUGUAAAUAGCUGGGCGAAUAAGGGGAGGGCAAGUCUGGUGUCAGCCGCCGCGGUAAUACCAGCUCCCCGAGUGAUAGGGACGAUUAUUUAGCCUAAAGCGUCCGUAGCCGGCUUGGCAAGUUCUCAGUUAAAUCUGGUGAUUCAAUCAUCAGGCUGCUGGGAAUACUGCUAAGCUAGGAGGCGGGAGAGGCUAACGGUAUUCUCGGAGUAGGGGUGAAAUCCUAUAAUUCCGAGAGGACCACCAGUGGCGAAGGCGGUUAGCUAGAACGCGCUCGACGGUAAGGGACGAAAGCUGGGGGAGCGAACCGGAUUAGAUACCCGGGUAGUCC